GCUCGUAGUUGGAUUUUGGUUAAGAGGGCGCGGUCGGCCGUUUGGUCUGUACUGCGUUGUCUUGACUUCCUGAUGAGGACAUGCUCUUGGUUAACGCUGAGACAUGGAGUCAUCGUGGUUACUUUGAAAAAAUUAGAGUGUUCAAAGCGGGCUUACGCUUGAAUAUAUUAGCAUGGAAUAACACUAUAGGACUCCUGUCCUAUCUCGUUGGUCUCGGGAUGGGAGUAAUGAUUAAGAGGAACAGUUGGGGGCAUUCGUAUUUCAUUGUCAGAGGUGAAAUUCUUGGAUUUAUGAAAGACGAACUUCUGCGAAAGCAUUUGCCAAGGAUGUUUUCAUUAAUCAAGAACGAAAGUUGGGGGCUCGAAGAUGAUUAGAUACCAUCCUAGUCUCAACCAUAAACGAUGCCGACUAGGGAUUGGUGGAUGUUAAUUGAUGACUUCACCAGCACCUUAUGAGAAAUCAAAGUUUUUGGGUUCCGGGGGGAGUAUGGUCGCAAGGCU
rnacentral:rRNA from 1 species